rnacentral:rRNA from 1 species
AACGAACGUUGGCGGCGUGGAUGAGGCAUGCAAGUCGAACGUGAAAGCCUUCGGGUGAGUAGCGUGGCGGACGGGCGAGUAACACGUAACCAAGCUGCCUGUCAGACGGGGAUAACUCCGGGAAACCGGAGCUAAGACCCGAUGGUCUUGCGGGAUCGCAUGUUCCUGCAAGUAAAUGGACGGGACCCUCCGGGGCCGUCUGCUGACAGAGGUGGUUGCGGCCCAUCAGCUAGUUGGUAGGGUAAUGGCCUACCAAGGCAACGACGGGUAGCCGGCCUAAGAGGGUGGUCGGCCGCACUGGGACUGAGACACUGCCCAGACUCCUACGGGAGGCUGCAGUCGAGAAUCUUCCGCAAUGGGCGAAAGCCUGACGGAGCGACGCCGCGUGGAGGACGAAGGCCUUCGGGUUGUAACGUACCUCGUCACGAGUUAAGAAGGUUACGCGGACGAACGAAGUCUGCGGACGUUGACGUAAGCUCGAGAGGAAGCACU